GUCAGCACCCCGCUCUAAAGACACGGGGCAUCAUGCUUCUCUUUUUAGGUAGCUGACCAGCCUAAGUCCCUUGAGGACUACGUUAUCGGUGAGAGUUAACGUUCCUACCCUGAGAUGCUUGCCAGUCGCCGGCUCAUGAA
rnacentral:sRNA from 20 species